rnacentral:rRNA from 1 species
AUUUGCAAGCCCAAAGACCAGGGGGGUCUUGGCAUCCUCUCUUCCCGACGCAUGAACAUUGCCCUCCUGACUCGCUGGCUGUGGCGUAUUGCCAACGGGGAGGGAGGCCUCUAGCUCACCAUCAUACGUAAUAAAUAUCUUCGUGGCCAGCCUCUCGCCUUUUGCCAACGUACGGGCGGUUCCCAGUUCUGGCAGUCUGUGAUCCAGCUCCUGCCCGUACUACGCAUUGGCACCUCUAUAUCGGUUGGCUCCGGAGCCUCGACCCUGUUUUGGCUCGACCGUUGGCUAGGGAACGCCCCCCUGGCGGUGCGUUUC